UGGUUGAUCCUGCCAGUAGCAUAUGCUUGUCUCAAAGAUUAAGCCAUGCAUGUAUAAGUUCACACCUUUAUAUGGUGAAACCGCGAAUGGCUCAUUAAAUCAGCUAUGGUUCCUUAGAUCUUAUGUCCAUACUUGGAUAACUGUAGUAAUUCUAGAGCUAAUACAUGCUUAAAAGCCUUGACUUAACAGGAAGGGCGAAUUUAUUAGAACAAAACCAACCGGCUCUGCCGUUGGCUUGAUGACUCUGGAUAACUUUUCUGAUCGCACGGCCACGUGCCAGCGACGUAUCUUUCAAAUGUCUGCCCUAUCAACUAUCGAUGGUAGGUUAUAUGCCUACCAUGGUGAUGACGGGUAACGGGGAAUCAGGGUUCGAUUCCGGAGAGGGAGCCUUAGAAAUGGCUACCACAUCUAAGGAAGGCAGCAGGCGCGCAAAUUACCCACUCUCAGCUCGAGGAGGUAGUGACGAAAAAUAACGAUGCGGGACUCAAAUGAGGCCUCGCAAUUGGAAUGAGUACAAUUUAAAUCCUUUAACGAGGAACAAUUGGAGGGCAAGUCUGGU
rnacentral:rRNA from 1 species